AUCAUUACUGGGUUUCGGACCUCGUGUCCACUCACCCGCCCUUUGUCAUAUACAAACAUACAUCGUUUCGGCUCCUGGUUCUCGGGCACCCUCUCUAUUAACUUAGCGGGGUACUGCCUGUUAGCCGCGGGUCGGCAUUGCAAACCCACACGGAUUACUGAAGUCUGAUACAAUUUUUUAAACGAAAUUAAAACUUUCAACAACGGAUCUCUUGGUUCUGGCAACGAUGAAGAACGCAGCGAAAUGCGAUAAUUAAUGUGAAUUGCAGAAUUCAGUGAAUCAUCGAAUCUUUGAACGCACAUUGCGCCUCCUGGUAUUCCGGGAGGCACGCCUGUCCGAGCGCCAUUACACCCCCCAAGCCUUGCUUGAUGUUGGGCCAUGACGCGCUGUCAAGCCCCAAACCUUUAGGCGCCCCCUACUGGCCGCGAGCGUAGCAAGAAAUCUUUUUUUCCCUCGCUUCGCGUGUCCAAUGGGCGGGUCGCCGAUUGACCCCCUAAAUUUACAAGGUUUGGCCUCGGAUCAGGCGGGUGAUACCCGCUGAACUUAAGCAUAUCAAUAAGCGGAGGAAAAGAAACCAACAGGGAUUGCCCCAGUAACGGCGAGUGAAGCGGCAUCAGCUCAAAUUUGAAAUCUGGCGUCUUCGGCGUCCGAGUUGUAAUUUGUAGAGAGUGUCUCGGGUGGAGCACCGGUC
rnacentral:rRNA from 1 species